rnacentral:sRNA from 1 species
GCCAGGCAUGGUGACACACGCCUGUAAUCCCAGCGGCUUGGGAGGCUGAGACAGGAGGAUUGCGAGUUCAAAGCCUUCCUCGGCAAAAGUGAGGCAGUAAGUAAGCAACUCAGUGAGACCCUGUCUCUA